GACGAACGCUGGCGGCGUGCCUAAUACAUGCAAGUCGAACGCUGAAGGAGGAGCUUGCUCUUCUGGAUGAGUUGCGAACGGGUGAGUAACGCGUAGGUAACCUGCCUGGUAGCGGGGGAUAACUAUUGGAAACGAUAGCUAAUACCGCAUAAUAGUAGAUGUUGCAUGAUAUUUACUUAAAAGGUGCAAUUGCACCACUACCAGAUGGACCUGCGUUGUAUUAGCUAGUUGGUGGGGUAACGGCUCACCAAGGCGACGAUACAUAGCCGACCUGAGAGGGGGAUCGGCCACACUGGGACGGAGACCCGGCCCAGACUCCUGCGGGAGGCAGCAGUAGGGAAUCUUCGGCAAUGGACGGAAGUCUGACCGAGCAACGCCGCGUGAGUGAAGAAGGUUGUCGGAUCGUAAAGCUCUGUUGUAAGAGAAGAACGAGUGUGAGAGUGGAAAGUUCACACUGUGACGGUAUCUUACCAGAAAGGGACGGCUAACUACGUG
rnacentral:rRNA from 1 species